GCUUACAGCCAUACCACCCUGAGCAUGUCUGAUCCCGGAAGCUAAACAGGGUCGGUUAGUACUGGUUAGUACUUGGAUGUCAGACCUCUUGGUAAUGCCAGGUGCUGUAUGCU
rnacentral:rRNA from 1 species